CGCGGCGCUGGCCGAGCAGGACGCGAUCCGGUGACGGAUGCCGGCCGCCGGCAUGCGCUCGGCGCACUGGCGUCGCUCGGUGCCGCGUGCUGCGG
rnacentral:tRNA from 1 species